rnacentral:rRNA from 1 species
AUACGGAGGAUCCGAGCGUUAUCCGGAUUUAUUGGGUUUAAAGGGUGCGCAGGCGGCCAUUUAAGUCAGCGGUUAAAUCGUGGGGCUCAACCCCAUUCUGCCGUUGAUACUGGGUGGCUUGAUUGCGGUCGAGGUUGGCGGAAUUCGUUGUGUAGCGGUGAAAUGCAUAGAUAUGACGAAGAACACCGAUUGCGUAGGCAGCUGACCAGACCGCAAAUGACGCUCAUGCACGAAAGUGCGGGGAUCGAACAGGAUUAGAUACCCUGGUAGUCCGCACAGUAAACGAUGAAUACUUGUUUUCGGUGAUAUAAUGUCGGAGGCAAAGCGAAAGCGAUAAGUAUUCCACCUGGGGAGUACGCCGGCAACGGUGAAACUCAAAUGAAUUGACGGGG